GCUACAUUGUUUAAUUCGUGCUAAUUACAGUGCCUAUGGGGGAUCGAUCUAAACAUUCAUAGUUCAUAAGGACCAGCGUGCGCAGUGAGCCUGCUCUCCCUGCACCCCCAAGGUGGCCUGGAAUGGAUUAUUACUAGGCCCAUUUCACAAAGGCGCUAAGCAGAGGUUGAAUUUGCUCAGGAUUUCCCAUUUACCCAACCACUGAGCCGUCGACCUUCAUUCCGAAUGAUUCCGUGAAAUCCCGGUAGCUUUCAGUCACGGCCAACUCCUGGAAAUGUCCACAGAAGUCGACUCUUCCACAUUCCCAGCUUCUUCAAAGCAUCACCUAACUAUCCGCAUUGCUGCGUGAGCCGCAGGAAGCAAGACCGCCAGCCUUGGCAUGGGCCUUCGGAUUCUCAUGUCUUCUCGUCUUCGCUUUCCUUCAUGGAGAGGGGCCGGGUUGUCACCUGGACCCCAGUAACGAGAUGGAGAUCGUAGAGAAAAAUCGCCACCCGCUCUCUGAGUGAGUCUGCCCCCUGGCACUCAGCAGCCCAACGUCUCCAAGCCUGGUCGGUGCUAUUUCUUCGUCGUCGUCCUCGAUCUCCUUCGCCAUGUUCUGCAUUACCAUCUGCUAAACAUAUUCCGACGUGCUGUUUGUUUUAGUUCCUGGUGCCAAGACCUUGACAUGUCCCUUUGCCCCCCACCUCAGGAAUUUCCCAAAUAAAUCACGAAAUGGAGGACGAUUGAUGUGAGGCGCCAACGCCAGGAUCCAGAAGCAAGUAGCCUAGGUAAACAUCUGCGUCUCUGCCGUUCCCUUCCCAUCCCGCUGCCAUCCGUUCUCCUCGCAGGAAACACUCGGCACUUAAUAAAGGCACCUCAUUAAACGCUGAUUUACGCUUGACUCAGCUGUUCCCUGGGUUCUCCUGGCCCCAGCACGCUGGUGCUCACUCAUUCGUUCUCCCCUGAAAGGAUUCCCCUCUCGCCUCUUUAAAAACCACCGCUUUCCUUUCAUUUUGGAAGCCUUUCUCCCCAGGGCUGAGUGUGUGGCCCGAGGCUCGCCUGCUCCCUCCCCUCCCGAGAAGCAGAUCAAAAGCAGGGCCAGCCGGCCUCGCCUCUGUCCUGCUCUGCUGCAGCCAGCGCUGCCCCGACCCCCAGACCACGAGCGCCCGAACUCAGGCUGUGUGUGUGGAAACAUGUCUGGUGUUUAAGAAUUUCAAGGCCCAUGAUGUGCAAAGAUUUUUGCAUAAGGGACGAUUCAGAAAAAAAUGAAAGCGCUCAUAAAGAUCCAGUCAUUCAAAGUGAAACAGCUUUGUGCAUCAGAAUUCCUGGAAUUCCCUAGAAUUCCUCACCUUUCCUCCACAGACUCGACAGUCAAUUUUAAUAACCCUUGCUGGAUAAAUCAUUAAUGUUCAGCCUGAAAUGAUGACCUGGUUGAGGAGGUUCCAAAAAGUACGACAGACCCAUUCUGGCAAAGCUGAGAUCUAUGUAAAACGGAGACGCGGGGGCUGACUGAAGCAGGAAACAAGAUUCUGACAUUUCUGGAUCGGCUGGUAUCUGCUGCCGCUUGCACUGCAGGAAUCGACUCUAAUUGGAUUCUUCUGAGCCAAGGGCUGGGGAAAACGCACAGACCCGAACGCAGGAAACCUGACCUUUUCGCUAAGGACAGCUAGUACCUGUCCAGGGCCAAAAUAAACUGAUCCAUUGGUUAAAAAAAAAAAAAAAGGUCGGCUGACUAGUCAUUUAGACUCCUGUGUGCCCUCUUGCCUGUGCUUGCAAAAUCAUUCGCAUUUUUAAAUUUUAAUCA